GCGGUAUAAAGGGCCGGCGGGGCGGGUGCGGUCGGUUGUGUGUGAGGGCUGAGGGUGCGGCCUCGCUGCUGCCCGGGCUGCGGAGGGGAGAGCGCCUUGGCCGCUGGCCUGGCUCGUGGUUUCCCCUGGUGCUGGGGAGUGGAGGCGAGUUGUGCUUCCUGCUGGGAGAGAGAAGGGCCUUGGGAAGCUGCUCCAUGAGCCACAGCUGUGCCGAGCCCGGGAGUCUGUCCAGCAGGAUGUCGAGUGACACCGUGUCCC